AGCUUUUGUACCCCCUUGAGUUGUUUGUACUCAAGUGUGUGGAUUUUACCUCUUGAGUUGUUUAUACUCAAGGUGUUUGCAGCUGAAUAUUUUUUAACUUAGCACUUGUUUGGUACAAGGGAUAACUGAUUUCGGGAUAACUUAUUCCCCAACCAAACAUGCCCUUGGUGAAAUUUCAAGGUUUUAAGCAUUGUUAUGUUUUAUGGCUUGUUCAUUGUAGUGGUCUGCUUUGAUUCAUUUUGGAACCAUAUGAG
rnacentral:misc_RNA from 1 species